AUAGCGUAUAUUAAAGUUGUUGCAGUUAAAAAGCUCGUAGUUGAACCUUGGGCCUGGCUGGCCGGUCCGUCUCAUCGCGUGUACUGGUCCGGCUGGGCCUUUCCUUCUGGCUAGGCACAUGCCCUUUACUGGGUGUGUGUCCGAACCAGGACUUUUACUUUGAAAAAAUUAGAGUGUUCAAAGCAGGCAUAUGCUCGAAUACAUUAGCAUGGAAUAAUAGAAUAGGACGUGUGGUUCUAUUUUGUUGGUUUCUAGGACCGCCGUAAUGAUUAAUAGGGAUAGUCGGGGGCAUCAGUAUUCAAUUGUCAGAGGUGAAAUUCUUGGAUUAAUUGAAGACUAACUACUG
rnacentral:rRNA from 1 species